GUAUAGGGGAGCCGGAGGGAAACCGAGUCUUAACCGGGCGUUAAGUUGCAGGGUAUAGACCCGAAACCCGGUGAUCUAGCCAUGGGCAGGUUGAAGGUUGGGUAACACUAACUGGAGGACCGAACCGACUAAUGUUGAAAAAUUAGCGGAUGACCUGUGGCUGGGGGUGAAAGGCCAAUCAAACCGGGAGAUAGCUGGUUCUCCCCGAAAGCUAUUUAGGUAGCGCCUCGUGAAUUCAUCUCCGGGGGUAGAGCACUGUUUCGGCUAGGGGGCCAUCCCGGCUUACCAACCCGAUGCAAACUGCGAAUACCGGAGAAUGUUAUCACGGGAGACACACGGCGGGUGCUAACGUCCGUCGUGAAGAGGGAAACAACCCAGACCGCCAGCUAAGGUCCCAAAGUCAUGGUUAAGUGGGAAACGAUGUGGGAAGGCCCAGACAGCCAGGAUGUUGGCUUAGAAGCAGCCAUCAUUUAAAGAAAGCGUAAUAGCUCACUGGUCGAGUCGGCCUGCGCGGAAGAUGUAACGGGGCUAAACCAUGCACCGAAGCUGCGGCAGCGAACGUAUCACCCAAGACAACUUUACGGAGUUGACGAUUGACGGAGCGAAGCGACGUCAAAGCGUUCAUUAAAGUCGAGUUGGCUUAGGGAUACGUUCGUUGGGUAGGGGAGCGUUCUGUAAGCCUGUGAAGGUGUGUCGUGAGGCAUGCUGGAGGUAUCAGAAGUGCGAAUGCUGACAUAAGUAACGAUAAAGCGGGUGAAAAGCCCGCUCGCCGGAAGACCAAGGGUUCCUGUCCAACGUUAAUCGGGGCAGGGUGAGUCGACCCCUAAGGCGAGGCCGAAAGGCGUAGUCGAUGGGAAACGGGUUAAUAUUCCCGUACUUGGUGUUACUGCGAAGGGGGGACGGAGAAGGCUAUGUUGGCCGGGCGACGGUUGUCCCGGUUUAAGCGUGUAGGUGUGUGUUCCAGGUAAAUCCGGUUCACUUUAACACUGAGGCGUGACGACGAGGCACUACGGUGCUGAAGCAACAAAUGCCCUGCUUCCAGGAAAAGCCUCUAAGCAUCAGGUAACAUCAAAUCGUACCCCAAACCGACACAGGUGGUCAGGUAGAGAAUACCAAGGCGCUUGAGAGAACUCGGGUGAAGGAACUAGGCAAAAUGGUGCCGUAACUUCGGGAGAAGGCACGCUGACACGUAGGUGAAGUGAUUUACUCAUGGAGCUGAAGUCAGUCGAAGAUACCAGCUGGCUGCAACUGUUUAUUAAAAACACAGCACUGUGCAAACACGAAAGUGGACGUAUACGGUGUGACGCCUGCCCGGUGCCGGAAGGUUAAUUGAUGGGGUCAGCGCAAGCGAAGCUCCUGAUCGAAGCCCCGGUAAACGGCGGCCGUAACUAUAACGGUCCUAAGGUAGCGAAAUUCCUUGUCGGGUAAGUUCCGACCUGCACGAAUGGCGUAAUGAUGGCCAGGCUGUCUCCACCCGAGACUCAGUGAAAUUGAACUCGCUGUGAAGAUGCAGUGUACCCGCGGCAAGACGGAAAGACCCCGUGAACCUUUACUAUAGCUUGACACUGAACAUUGAGCCUUGAUGUGUAGGAUAGGUGGGAGGCUUUGAAGUGUGGACGCCAGUCUGCAUGGAGCCGACCUUGAAAUACCACCCUUUAAUGUUUGAUGUUCUAACGUGGACCCGUAAUCCGGGUUGCGGACAGUGUCUGGUGGGUAGUUUGACUGGGGCGGUCUCCUCCUAAAGAGUAACGGAGGAGCACGAAGGUUGGCUAAUCCUGGUCGGACAUCAGGAGGUUAGUGCAAUGGCAUAAGCCAGCUUGACUGCGAGCGUGACGGCGCGAGCAGGUGCGAAAGCAGGUCAUAGUGAUCCGGUGGUUCUGAAUGGAAGGGCCAUCGCUCAACGGAUAAAAGGUACUCCGGGGAUAACAGGCUGAUACCGCCCAAGAGUUCAUAUCGACGGCGGUGUUUGGCACCUCGAUGUCGGCUCAUCACAUCCUGGGGCUGAAGUAGGUCCCAAGGGUAUGGCUGUUCGCCAUUUAAAGUGGUACGCGAGCUGGGUUUAGAACGUCGUGAGACAGUUCGGUCCCUAUCUGCCGUGGGCGCUGGAGAACUGAGGGGGGCUGCUCCUAGUACGAGAGGACCGGAGUGGACGCAUCACUGGUGUUCGGGUUGUCAUGCCAAUGGCACUGCCCGGUAGCUAAAUGCGGAAGAGAUAAGUGCUGAAAGCAUCUAAGCACGAAACUUGCCCCGAGAUGAGUUCUCCCUGAGACUUAGAGUCUCCUGAAGGAACGUUGAAGACGACGACGUUGAUAGGCCGGGUGUGUAAGCGCAGCGAUGCGUUGAGCUAACCGGUACUAAUGAACCGUGAGGCUUAACCUUACAACGCCGAAG
rnacentral:rRNA from 1 species